AUUCAAUGGCCUGAUCCAAAGCCCGUUUAAGUCAGUGGGAAUCUUUCCUAUGACUUGGAUGGGCUUUGGAUCAGGCCCUAAGUGU
rnacentral:pre_miRNA from 1 species